UACGUAGGGGGCGAGCGUUGUCCGGAAUGACUGGGCGUAAAGGGCGUGUAGGCGGUUCUUUAAGUUUGGAGUGAAAGUCCUGCUUUCAAGGUGGGAAUUGCUUUGAAUACUGGAGAACUUGAGUGCGGAAGAGGUAAGUGGAAUUCCCAGUGUAGCGGUGAAAUGCGUAGAGAUUGGGAGGAACACCAGUGGCGAAGGCGACUUACUGGGCCGUAACUGACGCUGAGGCGCGAAAGCGUGGGGAGCAACA
rnacentral:rRNA from 1 species